AUACGUAGGGUGCAAGCGUUAAUCGGAAUUACUGGGCGUAGAGCGUGCGCAGGCGGUUUUGUAAGACAGUGGUGAAAUCCCCGGGCUCAACCUGGGAACUGCCAUUGUGACUGCAAGGCUGGAGUGCGGCAGAGGGGGAUGGAAUUCCGCGUGUAGCAGUGAAAUGCGUAGAUAUGCGGAGGAACACCGAUGGCGAAGGCAAUCCCCUGGGCCUGCACUGACGCUCAUGCACGAAAGCGUGGGGAGCAAACAGGAUUAGAUGCCCUGGUAGUCCACGCCCUAAACGAUGUCAACUGGUUGUUGGGGAUUUAUUUUCUCAGUAACGAAGCUAACGCGUGAAGUUGACCGCCUGGGGAGUACGGCCGCAAGGUUAAAACUCAAAUGAAUUGGCGGGG
rnacentral:rRNA from 1 species